GGGCGUUCCCAGGCACCAGUAGGCGGAGCUCUGGAAACCUACAGCAGAUACGUGACAUGGCAAGGAAUGCGUGAGAUUUGAUGCUAAAGUACUUAUAUAGAUCGGCUGUAAACAUUGGAUAUUUAAAAAAUUUGGACAAGACGUGCAAUGAGCUCCAAAGAAAAGUAUCUAGAUUCGGCGGUCACAGCGUCAUAUGACAACAGGACAAGAAAUCAUCAUAGUGAAGGGGUGUUGGAGCUAUUCAUUAACAGGAGUGUUAAUACAAGGUAUGAAAAUCCCCAAGCCAGAAGGAAUCGUUACCUAUAUAUUAUUAUUGGAGUGGUUAUCGCGGUAGUAAUAGUUGCUGCUAUUGCCAUCACUGUACCCCUGGUUGUCAUAAAACACAAGGAAAAUGAAUCUUCAGAACAGAAAAACGAAUGUGGACCAUUUAGUUAUCCAGGUAUCGAUAUUUCAUCACUGACACCAAAAAUAAUCUCUGGCAGAAAAACAUGCCCAUUGAAAGGGGACUGCUGGACAGGGAAACAGUGUUAUCAAUGCUUCAAGCUUCCAAGAUGGAAGGUAGGCAAUAUCAACAAUAUACCGGUAUGCUGCGAAAAUUGCGAGAUAUCUGGUCUUAUUUUAUAUGACGACGGAUGCAGAUGUCGACAUAACGGAGGAUGACAUUUCUUGAUCCUGGACAAAACUUCAGCAAGAUCAGUUUAUCAAUAUUAUUUAGUUAGGCAAGAAAUAUUUGUAAAUGUAUCUCUGUUAUUCCAGUUUUUAGUGUGAAUGUCCUUGCUGACUGAAUGAGAUUUGGAUUUUACAUAAACAUGACAUCAGCACAAAAUGUUCAAAACAUGAAAUUUCUAAAAAAGUGCAGAAACGUGACGAAGAACAGAAAUAUCGCGGCAUCAUCAGUUGAGGACUAAUAUCAGAAUCUAACUUACAUUCGAAAUAUAAAUGCGGAAAAUGCAUGGUAUUAACAACGUUUCUUGUAAAAAUCAGUUGACAAGAUUAACAUGCCAUAUGACUCUCGAGCUGUUAAUGACAACUAACGAUUUAAACUACGUUGCUAGAGAGCAUGGUCAUUUUUCACUGUAUGCAUGUAAUUUGGACUUGUCAGAAACUGAUGUCCAGAUUAUGAAAUAAUUGCACACAAAUCUUGCUUUUAGUGAUCCUCUACUUCUCCCUACUAGUAUAUAGUCGGAACUUUAAAAGAAAUGUUUCAGUCAGAAACCGCAGGUCUGAUUUUCAAAGGAUUUUAUUCAUAUUUUCAUGGAGACCCUCUUCUAGGAUUGUUCAAAGUAAUCCGAUUCGUUAAAACACAUGACAACCAGAGGGCAUGGUCACUUCUCAGUAUAUGUAUAUGUGUAUAUGUGUGAAGUAAUUUUGUCAGAAACUAUAUAUUGUUCGAUUUUCAAACAAAUUCACACAUAUAGUCCUUGGGUACUACUUUACAAAGAACUUUUUAAUUAUUCCGAUUCAUCAAAAACGUAUGGCUGCCAGAGAUCUUCAAGUACCAAUGCCUGAAACCAAAUGUUCGAUGCCCGCAAUAUUCCUUAUGUGUAUACAGCGGAUACUUUACUAAUAAUUUAUAAGAAACUGUUUUACAGGUUUUGUGGUGGCCAUCAACCUAGACUCUUUUAAACAUUUUCAGUUUAAUCAAAAAGAAUACGUUGCUAUUAGAGCAAAUCGCGCUAAAAUGGGGAAAAUUGUCUAUUAUUAGGGGCUUUUUAAGCAUAUUUGUAACCGAAUCUAUUAUUAUGACAAAAUAUGUUUAUUGUCAUUAAAUCACGGCACUGACGUCAUAUUGAUAUAUUAUUUUGCGUCAUACAGUCAACGAAAAUUAGUGUUGACAUAUCUGGUCUAUUUUUUUUUUUCAUAAAAAAAGAGCAGUGUAGAAUUUAAAUGAUAGAACAGAACAUUGUAACACUUAAUUAUCCGUAGACCUUAAUAACAAAAUCACACAUUAAUAAAGAAACAGCUAGAAUCUGGUAUAAAACUUUUUAUUUAUUUAUGUUGUUUUAAUUAUAUUUGGAUGGCAUUUGGUUUGGCCAUGACUGACUGUUAAUUGAAUAUAUGAGAUAUACGAUGUAUGCUUUAAAUGCAAAUUACUGACAUAUCUAUAACUAUGACAAAUAUCUAUAUACAAUAGCGUAAUUCGUUAAUAUAAUGUAAAACAAUUUGAUAAAAUCAACACUAGAAUGCCCACUGAACUAUAAGUGUCCGGAAGUAAGUAGUAUGCACAUAAUAUAACAUUACACUGUUUCACAUAAAGUAAAUGUCUGCACACAUACGCACAACUUAUUAAUGUCCGUCAGCAUAACACUACUGACCUCUGUUGUAUUAUUUAACUAACGUCAACCAUAGUUCCGUGUAUAACACGAGGUGUUGUGUGCGAGUCUCAAACUGUUGACAUGGUAAACCAAACAUUGUAUCAGUGGGCUCUUUGAAGUCAGUCAUGACGAUUCCCUCUAACCUGUAACGAGAAUCAAACCCAGAAGCACAGAAAAAGUACUGUAAUAAACACAUUAUCUAUCUAUAUAGUUAUUCAGGAGCGGGUGGGUGGGUUUUGUCUUUUAAAAAGUUUGUAAAAGCUAUAACAAAACGUGACCUGUUUCGCUGAAAUCCAAUUCAAAAAGAAAGUUAUCGCGUGCUAUCAUUGAUGACGUAUAGCUGAUGAUGUCAAAAUAGCGUGGCUGGCCAAACCAAUAUGCCCCGAAGAGUUGUCUCCCAUUUAAGACUCCGGAUAAAGUCAUCUAUUUGAAGACAAGCCACAAAUAACUGUACUUAUCCGUAGACCCUAAUAACAAAAUCACACAUUAAUAAAGAAACAGCUAGAAUCUGGUAUAAAACUUUUUGUUUAUUUAUGUUGUUUUAAUUAUAUUUGGAUGGCAUUUGGUUUGGCCAUGACUGACUGUUAAUUGAAUAUAUGAGAUAUACGAUGUAUGCUUUACAUGCAAAUUACUGACAUAUCUAUAACUAUGACAAAUAUCUAUAUACAAUAGCGUAAAUCGUUAAUAUAAUGUAAAACAAUUUGAUAAAAUCAGCACUAGAAUGCCAUAGCUCGGGCAGAGGUUCGAAAGACACCGCGGAUCGAGCCCUGCCAAAAGGACUAGGGCUAUUUUAUCAAAUACCCCAAAAACAACCCAAAUUAAUGUGUAUUUUUUUUUUCGAUAAUUUACUAAACAUUUUGUAUAUGAUGGCUAAGUUGCUAAGAUGGUUAAAUGGAAAGACCGCACAUUAUACUUCAAUUCAAGUUUAUUAUUAUCCUAUAGUAAUUUCGCAAAAAUCGAUACUGAUGUACAGAAUUCUUAAAUAUCUAAGUAAUGGAUUUUCAGAUACAUAAUAAAAGUGCUUGGCAAAUAGAUAAUUAUCUAAAUAUUAAUAUUCCACGAUCUUUAGUACUAUGACUCACAUGAACUUAUAUGUGAAACACGAAGUUUUACACUCUCUCUUCAGGAAAACAUGUUGCAUUAUUGUAUAAGACCGAGUACAGUCCGUGCCUAAGAUUACUAAUAAAAAUAUCAUUCCCUAUUUCUGAGAGAUGAACAUUGUCUCUGAACAAAUAUGCUUUCUCAGUAAUCUGAGGAUAUCUGAUGUAUGCACCACCACGUUGUAUACAAUGUUUUGCCAGUGUGGUAUUGAAACGACGCCGACACUUAUUCAAUUUAAAAUGAUUAAUCUCGUUGCAAUAUACUAAUCUGGGCAGUAUCUGAGACCAAAUUAUUCUAGUAUUAGUCGCAGACUGCAUUUCUUGUAACGUGUUGAUGGCUAACAGUUCUGUUUCGUUUAAUGGACUUUGACCUAUAUCAUUUCCUCCACAAUGAACGACUAAGUAUUGAGGUGGUUUAUAUAAAGCUAACAAUUCAUAAAUUUUACUACUUAAAUGAUGCAUUUGCAUACCGGGCUGAAAAUCCCAAAAGAUGUCUACACCCGGCAGUUGAAAAUUCCCACUGUGAACACGAUAGAAGGCGUCCCGGACCAUCGAAGACCCAACUAUCCAUACUUGAAUAUUAUCUGAAAGUAUUUAACAAACUCAUAAUCUGAUGUAAUUUUUAUAAACACUUGACCUCCAACGUCCAAAAGUUUGAAUUGCGUGUUCGGGGACACCUGCACGGUAUAAAUGAGUUGCACCGCCUAUCCGAAAGGAAUGUGUUUGAAAGUAAUCAUUCGAAUGUCCGAGAGACGCCAAUGCUUUACGCAGAAUUUGUCUGAAUUGGUACUGUGUCAAAGGACUGCCAUUAGAAUGACAUAAAUAUUGCCCUUGUAUGUUUGGUCUAAUAGCUGCAUAUUGUAAAAGAUUCGCUUUUAGCAUUGCGGAUUCUGCUGAAUAAUAUAUUUUUAUGGUUGUGCCAUUUCUAAAUUGAUCGGUUUUUGAGGAGGCUAAAUAGAGUUGAACAUAGUUUGGGUGUAUGAUAAUUUCCUUAUUUGUGAAUCUCAAUUCACUUACUCUCAACAAGCCAAAAAAUGCUAUCUGAAAUGCUGUUUUGAAAAGUAAAGUUUCAUAAAAAGAAGUACAAAUAAAACGCAAACUGUUUAAAAGAUCUAGUAAUAAUUGGAAACUGAUCGGUUUUCCAGCGUCUGAUCUAUUUUGCAAUCGUUUCAUCCCUUCUAACAUUUUUCUUAUUUUAAAAUGUUGGGUUGUGUCGAGUAACCCGUUAAUAUUACAUGUAAAUGCGAUAGCGGCAAUGUGACAACCUACUGUUCUAUGUGCGUAUCCUCUUUGGGACAAACACGCAAUAUACUCUUGUAACUGUUGCACCGUUGGAGGCCAUUGCUUAACAUAAUUCAUAUGGUCUCUAAAAUUUUCGAAAGAACGUAAUCCUGAAUUGUAAGUCUUAUGUGUACUAUCAGCUAGAGAACCGUGUAUUAGCCGACUAAUUUCGUGCUGAGAAGAUGCUGAAAUUCAAGAGGAAUCAUGCGAGGGGUUUUACAUGCAAAAUUUGGUAGUAAUGUCUGCACUCUUUGAAAUUGUAAACGGCUUAUUGCAUCACAAAUGCCGUUAUUUUUUGAAAUAAUGUGAACAGCCUUAAGCUGGAUAUUAUUAUGCAGCAGAACUAACACCAAGUGCCUUAAUAAAAUCAGGGAACUCUCUUAUUUUUUGACGAUUUCUUAUUGAUAAUGUGAACUAAAGCCAUAUUGUCACAGUGCAACACUAUUUUCUUCCCCUUUAAUUUGACACCCCACAUUAAAAACGCGAGCAUGAUUGGAACCAUUUCUAGCAGUGUGAUGUCUCUAUAUAUUUCUUCAGGCCAGCAGACAGGCCAUUUAAAAACAAACCACUCCCCAUUUAGAUAUGCACCACAGCCUAAACGUCUACCUCCGGCCGCGUCUGUGUACAUAUUGAGAAGUCGGUCGGAUACCCAAUUUCCUUCAGGCAUUAUGGAAGUUCCAUUGAAAGAAUUUAAAAACAUUAGCUACGUUUUUAAAUCUUCCUUUAAUUCGUAUGUAAGACGGAUAAAGUGAUAGGGCAACUUUGCUUGGGACUGAGCUUGAUAUAAUCUGCAACUGAAUGUUGUACCAGUAGGGAUAGCUUUAGUAAAGAAAUUCAGGCUUCCGAGUAUAGACUGUAAUGCACUUAAAGUAAUUUUCUUUUUUAAAAGAGCCUCUGAAAUUUGCGCUUUUGCUUUAAAAUUUUUUUCCUCUGGAACACGUAUUUCCAUGCGAAUUGUGUCUAUCUCUAAACCUAAAUAUAUUAAAAUUGUUGUCGGACCAUCUGAUUUUUCAUGAUUUAUUGGAACUUUAAUGUCAUUGCAGAUAUAUUCAAAUGAUGUCAUCAAGUCUGCACAAUCGUUUGUGCCAGCUAAACCGGCGAAGAAAAAAUCAUCCAGAUAAUGAUCAAUAUUAUUUGAUUUUGCGUGAUUUUCUACGGUAAACUGUAAAAAUGUUGAAAAUUUUUCAAAAAUUGCUGGACUGAUUGAGCAGCCUUGAGGAAGCAUUUUCUGUAUCCAAUACUUGUCGUUAUGACUGAUUCCUAAAAUAUCAAAAUCAUCCGGGUGAACUGGACACAAAUUAAAAGCAGACUUUACAUCACGUUUGCCCAUUAAUGCACCUGGUCCUAAUCGCUGAAUGAUUUGAAUCACAUUCUCGAAUUUUGAGUACUGAACAGACGUCAAGCGUUCGUCAAUGUAAUCAUUUACACUGUUACCAUAGGGAUACGAUAGAUGUGUUAUUAGGCGCAGACCCCCAGAGCUCUUCGGUAUUAAACCAACCGGGUUAAUACGAAGGUUCGUAUACGGUUUGUCUUUAAAUAGACCUAUCAUCCGACCAAGCUCUACUUCCUUAUCUAGUUUUGCUAAGAGUAUGUCUGGAUUGAGUAUUGCUGAUCUGAGAUUUUUUGAAUGAAUAAGUGAUCGUGGACCACUGUAUUCGAGCCGAAACCCCUCUCUGAAACCCUUCAACAAAUAUAUCUUAUCACUGUGGUCGGAAUCUUGGAGCCAUGUUUCUAAACGCGAUAUGUCUAUUGGCGUAUUGCCGAGGUCCCCUAAUUGGGCAUGUAAAGUCAGGUCGAUGUUGGGGUCUAGGGAACCUUGUGAUAUUUGUUGGAACGCCUCUAGGCUUAUAUGGUUCGUUUGCGUGCCCAUUUCUGCAAACAAUAGAAGAAUGUGGACCGUAACAGUUUUUACACUUAUGCAAGUACUGGCAUCCAUAUUUUGAACAAUAACCAUUGUUAUUAAAUUCAUAACAUUGCUUAUCGAGUGAUGGUGUAGUAUGAUUGCUAGUCAUAGUUCGAAGCCACAACUCUGAGUCAACCAUUGACCAUCUCAUACAUGAAUAUUUUGACAAUUUUUGACGGAAAAGCCUAUCGUAUUUUACCCAGCCCGUCGAGUUCUGCUUUGAAGCGGAACGAAUUGUAUUACAAUACUGUAACAGUUCUCUAGCAAGCAAUGGUGAUUUUUCUACAAGUAUAUUCAUAUAAAUCAUAAAAGCAUCGGUCCAUUUUUCAGUGGUUAAUAUUUCUCGUUUUUUCAUCUCAGAUGAAGUUAUUUGUAAUUGACCGUUAACAAUUUUGAUACAGUGAGAAUCUGAGUCUUGUUUAUCAAGUAAUGAAGCUAAUUCUAUAAAUUCCCCUUUCAAAAUUUUUUCUCUCAAACCUUGACUAACAUGUAGUGAAAAAUCUGUACAAACAGAAGUCAUAAAAAUAUUACCUGACAGUUGAGGCUCGUUACUAAUGUUCGUGCCUGUGGUUGCCUGAACUGUCUGUUGGGUUCCGCUAUGUGCUAUGUUGACAGGUAUGUUACCAACGGUUGAACCAGUACCGAUACUGUACGGCUGGAAUUCAUUGCCAUAACUUUUAGGAACCAUUGGAGUUUGUUGAUGCACAGAUUGUUGCGUAGAAAUUUGCUGGUGCACAGAUUGUUGCGUAGGAAUUUGCUGAUGCACAGAUUGCUGCGUAGGAAUUUGCUGGUGCACAGAGUGUUGCGUAGGAAUUUGCUGGUGUACAAAUUGUUGCGUAGGAAUUCUCUGGUGCACAGAGUGUUGCGUAGGAAUUUGUUGAUACACCGAUUGUUGCAUAGGAGUUUGUUGAUACACAGAUUGUUGCGUAGAAGUUUGCGUAGGGUACGGCUGGAAUGUAUUGCCAUAACUGGAAUUAUCUCCAUUGUCCGAAUAUUGUGUAACUACUGGAUUAUUCCAAUAAGGAGCUGCUAGAUUUUGUCCAUCUAUGACUUGCAUAUUCGAGUACGCUGCUUGGAUUUGGCAAUUAGCACUUUGUCCAUUCGAGGUUUGUACACCAGGCUGAUAGAAUUCAUUUUGUCCGUUAUCACUGACCGUUGUAUCUCUCACCGGUUGGUGUUCGGCGGAGCAUGGCAGAUCUAGUCUAGAUCCAGAACUCUGAUUGAAUGGGUCCAAACUGACAUUUGAAAUGUUUAAUGCAUUGUUUGUCGUAGCAUUAACGUUACUGUCUUAUGAUAAGGUAGCCAGAUUUCUGGCAACUUGUUGACGCCUCUCACUCCGCCUGCGUCGAUUUGUCGUAGCACUCCCACCAGUAAUGGCAGUAUGAGCAUUUGCAUUCCUUGCUCGAGUCUUCUGACGUGGCAUUUCUAUCAGGAAAUAAAUUGAAAAUAAUAUAAUCUAGAGCAGAGCAAAUUCUAAAGUCACAUAAGUUAUAAUAGCAAAAGAUUUAAAUUUAAAAUGAAAAACUGAAAAUUAGACAAAGACCAUGAUUCUAGUAGCUUCUAAAAUACGAAAUAGUUCUAGAUCUACCUUUAUCCCGUAUCUCAGCUAAUUAAAAAUAUUCUAAACAGCAUAACUCAUUUAAGUUAUAACUGAAUAAAUAAAAUCCGCAAAUCAAUCCUUAAAAUCUUUUGUCUUUUAAAAAGUUUGUAAAAACUAUAACAAAACGUGACCUGUUUCGCUGAAAUCCAAUUCAAAAAGAAAGUUAUCGCGUGCUAUCAUUGAUGACGUAUAGCUGAUGAUGUCAAAGUAGCGUGGCUGGCCAAACCAAUAUGCCCCGAAGAGUUGUCUGCCAUCUAAGACUCCGGAUAAAGUCAUCUAUUUGAAGACAAGCCUCAAAUAACUGUACUUAAUUGACUAUUAGUCGUGCUGAAUAGUUUACAAGACAUACGCUGUCGUAUAUAUAUUCCCCGGAAUGUGUAAUCUCAAGCGAUGUUUUAAUUAUAUUAUAAAACAGUCACGUUGAUGUCACCUUAGUGCCAUAAGGUAGUGAUUACAUUAAUCAUCAAACUGUAAUACAUUAUAUCGUAUUAGACACGAAUGAAUGUGGAGACGAACAGAUACAUUUAAACACUCCCAAUACAACAUGAACAUACACAGCGUAGAAAAAUUCACUCGGGUUACACCACGUGUGGAAGUAUUCCGCAUUCGUAUAAUUUCUUCGUCGUGUCAAAAGAUAUUUAAACAUGUUUUGGCUAUAUAUUGUUUCUUUAAUGAAAACAUCGUCGUGGUUACAAUGAGCAUUCCUGUAGUUCUGCACGUUCGGAUAAAAAAUCUACACUGUAUAAUGUGAUUAAAGCUUGAUUGUUCGAAACAUCAGAAUAUAUUGGGAAAUUUCGGAAAAAAUAGGGUAUUGAGUUCUUGUUACACUGAUUUGAAAAUGUUAAUCUCUUGUCAAUUUUUUCAAUGGUUCUAUGGGAAAAUCGCACUUUUGAAGAUAUCUUCGCGUAUAGAAAAUGUUCCAUAAUGUAGUUUUUAAUAAAAUAUCAGUAUAGUUGUAGAUUCAUCUUUUUCAAUUAUAUAACCAAAUAAAAUGUAUAAAUCUG